rnacentral:rRNA from 1 species
GAGGAAUAUUGGGCAAUGCCCGAAAGGGUGACCCAGCAACGCCGCGUGGAGGAUGAAGGUCGUAAGAUUGUAAACUCCUGUUAGAGGGGAAGAAUAACUAAGUUUGGAGCUUAGUAUGACUGUACCCUCAGAGAAAGCCCCGGCUAACUACGUGCCAGCAGCCGCGGUAAUACGUAGGGGGCAAGCGUUGUCCGGAUUUACUGGGUGUAAAGGGCGUGCAGGCGGAAUGGAAAGUCAGUGGUGAAAUCCUACAGCUUAACUGUAGAACUGCCUUUGAUACUUUCAUUCUUGAGUUCGGGAGAGAGAGACGGAAUUCCAGGUGUAGUGGUGAAAUACGUAGAUAUCUGGAAGAACACCAGUUGCGAAGGCGGUCUCUUGGUCCGAUACUGACGCUGAGGCGCGAAAGCGUGGGGAGCAAACAG